rnacentral:misc_RNA from 1 species
CAGAGUUUUCUAAACUCCCAAACCCAUGUGAACAUACCUGUUGCCUCGGCGGCCUACCCGGCAGCUACCCUGUAGCUACCCUGUAGUCCGCCGAAGGAUUUCAAAACUCUUGUUUUCAGUUGUAUCUCUGAGACUAAAACAAAUAAAUCA